rnacentral:rRNA from 1 species
AUGGACGGCGUCGACUCCAUGGUGGACCCCCUCCGCGAGUUCGCCAAGGACAACGUCCGCCUCGUCAAGCGCUGCCACAAGCCCGACCGCAAGGAUCUGACGCUGAUUCGGCACGCAGAGUUCACCAAGGUGGCGGCGCGGACGGCGAUCUGGUUCGUCGUCAUGGGGUUCGUCGGCUUCUUCGUCAAGCUCAUCUUCAUCCCCAUCAACAACAUCAUCGUCAGCUUCGGCUAG